rnacentral:rRNA from 1 species
UACGUAGGGGGCAAGCGUUGUCCGGAAUUAUUGGGCGUAAAGAGCGUGUAGGCGGUCCGGUAAGUCGGCUGUGAAAGUCCAGGGCUCAACCCUGGGAUGCCGGUCGAUACUGCCGGACUAGAGGUAGGCAGGGGAGAGCGGAACUCCUGGUGUAGCGGUGGAAUGCGCAGAUAUCAGGAAGAACACCGGUGGCGAAGGCGGCUCUCUGGGCCUUACCUGACGCUGAGGAGCGAAAGCGUGGGUAGCGAACAGG